rnacentral:lncRNA from 1 species
GUAUCUGACUCAGGACCUGAUUUAAGGUUUGGGGUUUUUUGGCCCUUUGUUUCUUCCUCUUGUUUUUUGACCUUUAGUUACUCCACACCUCAUUAGUUCCUUGACCUGCAGGUGGACUGAGAAGAGAGCCAUGGUAGCAGGCAAGAGUGUGGUUAUCGUUGGACCAGGAUUCAGGAUCUGACUGAGUAGCUGACUCUUAAUCCAGUUUGUGUUGAUCACCAGGAGGAUCUGGACCUCAGUAUUACCACAUCUAGAGCUAUAAUCACAUCCCUGUUAAGCCUUCCUGAGAUCACACCAAAUGUCCUUGAUGGGAAUUGUAAACAACCCUUACUUCUGGUUUCUAAUGAUAUUCCAGGAAAGGAGCCUAACUAGAGUCAGUGAUAUGCCAACUCCACCUUUGCCUUCCACCAUGUUUGGAAGCUCCCUGAGGCCUCACCAGGAGCAGAUGCUCGUCCCAUGCUUCCUAUAAGCCUGCAGAACUGUGAGCCAUAAUAAACUGUGAAUUAUAAAUUGCCUUUAUAGCAAUGCAAAUGGACCAGUACAGAUGGGAUGCUGGGAAGACAGUUGUUUCCACCUUCAGUAAAGUCCGUGGAACACAGUUGUGACUAUAUUCUAGGCCAGCCAAGAUGCUUGUACUCAGAAAGGAGUGGUCUCAGGACCAUAAGAAAGUGAAAAAAUAAAAAUAAGAAAAUAAAGAAGGGAUUGUCAAUGAAUCAGAAUUCAUCAAGGUCAAAGUCUUAGGAAAUUCCUUCAUGAGGAAGUCUAGGGGGGCUAUGGAAAUGAAAUUUUUAAACAAAUAGGUAUGUGGUGCUGGCAGGAAUAAAUUAUGGACUUAUGAAUAUAACAUAAGAUUCUUUAUUACCUGGUCUCACCCGUCUUUCCACCUCUGCCCCCCUUCUUGCCCGACUCUGUGUAUCACCCAUAAUAAACUACUUACAGCUUCCUAGUGUUAAAUUUACCCUAAAAAAAAAAAAAAA